rnacentral:rRNA from 1 species
GACGAACGCUGGCGGCGUGCCUAACACAUGCAAGUCGAACGGAACUUUUUUAAAAGAUUUCUUCGGAAUGAAUUUGAUUAAGUUUAGUGGCGGACGGGUGAGUAACGCGUGAGUAACCUGCCUCUAAGAGGGGAAUAACAUUCUGAAAAGAAUGCUAAUACCGCAUAACAUAUAUUUAUCGCAUGGUAGAUAUAUCAAAGAUUUAUCGCUUAGAGAUGGACUCGCGUCCGAUUAGUUAGUUGGUGAGGUAACGGCUCACCAAGACCGCGAUCGGUAGCCGGACUGAGAGGUUGAACGGCCACAUUGGGACUGAGACACGGCCCAGACUCCUACGGGAGGCAGCAGUGGGGGAUAUUGCGCAAUGGGGAAACCCUGACGCAGCAACGCCGCGUGAAGGAUGAAGGUCUUC